AGCCUGCCCAGUGACAAAAUUCAACGGCCACGGUACCCUAACCGCGCGAAGGUAGCAUAAUCACUUGUUCUUUAAAUAGGGACUAGUAUCAACGGCACCACGAGGGUUAUACUGUCUCCUAUUUCAAAUCAGUGAAACUAAUCUCCCCGUGAAGAAGCGGGGAUAUACUUAUAAGACGAGAAGACCCCAUGGAGCUUCAAACCCAGCUACACCCCGAUCUCUAUAACCCACUUAACCCCCACGGACCCCUGUAUAGCUGGUUUUCGGUUGGGGCGACCACGGAGUACAACGAAACCUCCACAAUGAACGGGACUAACCCCUCACCUAAGGCCCACACCCCUAAGAAUUAGAAUACUAACAUAAAGUGAUCCAUUAUUUGAUCAAUGAACCAAGUUACCCUGGGGAUAACAGCGCAAUCCAUUUCAAGAGCCCCUAUCGACAAAUGGGUUUACGACCUCGAUGUUGGAUCAGGGUAUCCUAGUGGUGCAGCAGCUACUAACGGUUCGUUUGUUCAACGAUUAAAACCCU
rnacentral:rRNA from 1 species